AUUGAACGCUGGCGGCAGGCCUAACACAUGCAAGUCGGGCGAGCGGCGGACGGGUGUGUAAUGUAUGGGGAUCUGCCUUAUGGAGGGGGAUAACUACUGGAAACGGUAGCUCAUACCGCAUACCAUCAGAUGAACCCAUAUGGGAUUAGCUUGUAGGUGAGGUAACGGCUCACCUAGGCGACGGUCCCUAGCUGAUCUGAGAGGAUGAUCGGCCACACUGGGCCUGGGACACGGCCCAGACUCCUACGGUAGGCAGCAGUAGGGAAUCUGCGGCGAAGGACGAAAGUCUGACCGAGCAACGACGCGUGAGUGAAGAAGGCCUUCGGGUUGUAAAGUACUUUCAGUCGGGAGGCGUUACCGACAGAAGAAGCACCGGCUAACUCCGUGCCAGCCGCCGCGGUAAUUC
rnacentral:rRNA from 1 species